AGGUUUCGGCCUGAGAUAAAUCUCUCCAACUUCUCUGAUUGGAAUAUUCUAAACUCUAAAUAUUUCACUCAGGUUCUAAGUAUUGAUCAUAAUGUUAAUGAAGCAACCCUUGAACUAGCUCAAGGUAGAUACUCUUCAGAUGCCAUGGAAAAUAUAUAUCAGGAGUACAGGGAUUUAUAUGGAGUUCUCAGCGUAAAAUCUAAACCUUUUCAUUUAGGAGACCCAAGCACAGUUCCCAGAGACGGUCUGCACACUCUUAG